rnacentral:rRNA from 1 species
CAUGUCUUUUUGAUAUUAAUUUAAAGUCUAACCUGCCCAAUGAUAAAAAAUAUUAAAUGGCCGCGAUAUUUUGAUCGUGCAAAGGUAGCAUAAUCAUUAGUUUCUUAAUUAGGAACUGGUAUGAAAGGUUGAACGAGAAAAUUACUGUCUCAAUUUAAUUUUAUUAGAAUUUUAUUUUUAAGUAAAAAAGCUUAAAUAAAUUUAAAAGACGAGAAGACCCUAUAGAGUUUUAUAUUUAAUGAUAUUAAAAAAAAAUUUAGAAUUUAAUUUUUUUUUUAUUAUUAAGUAUUUGGUUGGGGUGAUUAAAAAAUUAAAAAAACUUUUUUUAAUUAAUUACAUUGAUAUAUGAAUAAAUGAUCCAUAUUUUAUGAUUAAAAGAUUAAAUUACCUUAGGGAUAACAGCGUAAUUUUUUUUGAGAGUUCUUAUCGAAAAAAAAGUUUGCGACC